rnacentral:tRNA from 1 species
GGGGAUAUAGCUCAGUUGGUAGAGCCCCGCUCUUGCAA